AGCCAAAUACUUUCUUUGCAUGCUUGUGUAGCUGACAUAUAUUCUACUUUUGUUGUAGAUAAGGCCACUAUAGAUUGCAAUUUUGAUUUGAUUCCCAGCUCACUACACUAUUAGCUAAAGAAAACACAUAACCAAUAGUUGAUUUUUUAUUAUCGCGAUCUCCUACAUAGUUUGCAUCCAUAUAACCAACUAGUUUUAAGAUUUGACCACUAUAACAAAUGGAGAUUUCAGAAGUACCAUUCAAAUAACGAAAGAUUCUCUUCACCGUAGUCAAAUGAUCUCUUCCUAGAUUUACCAUAAACUUACUAACUGCUCCCACUGCUUGUGCAGUGUCUGGUCUAGUGCACACCAUGGCAAACAUAAGGCUCCCUACUACUGAUGAAUAUGGUAGGUGUGAGACAUCUUUAUCUUCUCAGCUUCAGUGCUAGGUGAAUGUUCCGAAGACAACUUGCAAGACAUCUCUAUCUUCUCAGCUUCAAUGCUAGGUGAUUGUUCCAAAGACAACUUGCAACCAACAGAAAAUGAGAUAUUGACUGGUUUGGAAUCUUGCAUGUUGAAGCGUUGUAAGACCUUUUGAACACAACUCUUUUGAGUUAUCUAGACUUUAUUGUUCUUUCUGUCCCUAUAUACCGUCAUCCCAAGAAUCUGAUUAACCACCCCCAGAUCCUUCAUUACCAAAGUAUGUGUGGGCACAAUGAUUUGCUUCACAUUUGCUAAAGCCCAAACUCAUAAUGAAGGAUUCAAACCACUUAUACCAAUACUUUGGUGCCUGUUUUAGACCGUAAAGUGAUUUGGUCAGCUGACAAACCAGAUCCUUUUUGUCGUCAUCGACAAAGCCUUCAGGUUGAGUCAUAUAAAUCUCUUCUUCAAGAUUACUAUGCAAAAAUGCAGUUUUAACAUCUAACUACUCCAGCUCCAAGUCAAGUAUUGCAACCAUACUCAACAAAAUACGAAUAGUACUUAAUCAAACAACAGGAGAAAAUAUUCCGUUGAAGUCGAUACCUGAUUUCUGAGCAUAUCCUUUUACAACUAGUUGAAUUUUGUAUCUUUCGAUAUUCCCGCUAGUGUCCUUCUUGAGUUUGUACACCCAUCUACAACCAAUGGCCUUUCGAUUCUUAGGUAGUUUGACUAACUCCCAAGUUUUGUUUUUCUUCAGAACUUCCAUUUCUUCCUCUAUAGCCAUUUGCCAAUGACGAGCAUUUGGACAUUUGCAUGCUUCGUGGCAUGAAUAAGGCUCGUGCUUUUCUAUAAUGCAAGCAUAAGUUGUUACAUAAUCCUGAAGUUAGACAUGAGGCUUUGUAUUUCUCCUCAAUUGGCCUUGAUCACCGUGAGUUUCUCCUUCAAAAUCUUUAACGUGCUCUUCAGGUACAUCAACAGUUGUAUCAAUUUGUUGCUCUUGAAUCUUUUAAAAAGAUUCCACUUCAACUUUUUCUACUGUCUUAAAGCUUGAUUCUAUAUUGAAUCUUCAUUGAAGACAACAUCUCAACUAACAACAAUCUUGUGGGCAGUAGGAUCCUACAAUCUAUAUCCCUUUGUACCUUCUACAUAGCCAAGAAAAAUACACUUUUUGGACAUUGCCUCUAGUUUAGUCUUCUGCUUCUUAGGAGUCCAAACAUAAGUAUCACUACUAAAGGUAUGUAGAAAAGAAUAAUCAACAAGGUUUCCUAACCAUACCUCUUCUGGAAUUUUGCAAUCAAAUGUCAUAGUGGAAGAGCGAUUUACUAGGUAGCAUGUCGUAUUGACUGCUUUUGCCCAAAAACACUGCUCCAGCCCAGCUGCACUCAACAUGCUUCUAGCUCGAUCCAUAAGUGUACAGUUUAUCUAUUCAGCAAGAGUGUAACCCAUUCCGAACAUAUAAUCUAAAACCAGUCCAACCUACUACUUGAAGAGAGGCAUUGGACCGUUCUCUGAAAUGUCUCUCUAUGUGGUCUCUGCUUACUCCCGACAUAUUGAUCAACCACUCCAUUCUCUCCUUUGCACUUCCUGCUUUAUAGAAUCCAAUAAUUAUAUGAUGACAAGUACAUACCAGUGGCUCCAAACUCCUAUUUCGCAUGUUGCUCCACAACUCGAUUGCUUCUUGUACAUUUCCCAUGUCAUAAAGUGCUAGGAUAAGCGGAGUAUAAGACGAGGUGGUCGGAUGCAUUCCCGUCCCCAGGAUUUCAUAGAAAAGGUCCAUAGCCUCAACUACCUUCUUUUCUUUGCAAAGGCUCUCAAUGAGAAUGUUGUAUGUUGUAUGUCACCACAUCGCGUUCAAUUCCCUUCUUGGGCAUUUCUUCGAAUAGUUUAUGCGUUUCAUCCAUUCUCCCAUGUAAACAGAACCCAGCAAUCAUGGUGUUAUAACUCACCGUGCUUUCUCCAUACAUCUCACUACGCAGCUUCUAGGCCAUUUCUAAGUCACCCAUCUUACAAUAACCAUCAAUAAGUAUAUGGAUUUGGAAUGAACCCCUUCCUAAUCAUCUCGAACCAAAGCUUCCUCGCUUCACCAGUCAAGCCCAUCUUACAGAGGCCAUCUAUCAUCGUCGUGUACAUAACCCUACCGGGAGCAUACCUUCCCUCAUUCGAACUUCCCUCCCAAAAAUCCCACCUUCUCUCAGAAUACUGUGGCUAGACCACCGGCCACCACAACAGCUGUGACUAGACCAUCGAUCACGUCUUCUCUUAAAGGGCGGUUCACUUAGUUGGACCGGAACUUAAAUACAAUCCAAAAACCCAAAAACCACCACUCCUUGGUUUGUUAUUCGAAUUUUCGACUCCCAAAGUGAAGCUUUCUCUCAUUUGAACUUUCCUUCCCCUGUCUCCCUCUUUCAUCCAAACCCUAACCCCUCAACCGACGAGUUACCAGACCACCGGCAGCAGGUGGUGCAUUCAACCGGCGGCAAUAGUAAACCCACGACCAGCAGUAAAGGUAAUGGCCAGUAGUCAAGGGAAAAGUGGGGGAAGCUCCCGUGCUAUGUGGACUCCCGACUUGCACAAAAUUUGGGUAGAUCUGUGUUUAAAUCAAGUCUUGACAGGUCAUAGGACCAAUACUACCAUAGAUAGACAAGGCUGGUCGACUGUGAUUCAGGAGUUUACUCGGAUAACGGGAAAAAAUUAUUCCCAAAAACAAAUGAAAAAUCACUGGGAUGUGGUUAAAAGUAAAUGGAAGAUAUUCCAUAAACUGUCUACAUAUGCCGGUUCAGGUUGGGACCCUAACCCUAUAAAUGAAACAUUCACUGCUGAAGAUGAUUUUUGGAAAGAUUAUCUGAAGAUAUAUCCUGAUGCAGCGCAGUUUAGGCACAAGGGUCUACCCCAUGCGGCAAACUUGGACAUCAUAUUUGGUGAUGGAUAAUGAAUUACUAAAUGAAGCACAAUCGGAGAGUGAGUUGGUAUCAGAUAUGGAGACAGGAUCGGAAAUACUGAUGAGGAAAUGAAUUGUAUUCUAUAUGUUGCAUAUGCUGUAGGUGAGUAUUAUUAUAAUACUUUUCACAAGGAACCUAAACGCAACAUGUCCAAUCGAGAUGCAUUUUGCAAAAAUGAUAAUAAACAUAUCUAGUAUGUUGGACAAUA